rnacentral:tRNA from 1 species
GGUUGUGGCUCAGUGGUACAGAGCUUGCCUAGCACGUGCAAGGCCCUGGGUUCCAUCCUCAGCACAUUA